rnacentral:rRNA from 1 species
GACGAACGCUGGCGGCGUGCUUAACACAUGCAAGUCGAACGGAAAGGCCCUGCUUUUGUGGGGUGCUCGAGUGGCGAACGGGUGAGUAACACGUGAGUAACCUGCCCUUGACUUUGGGAUAACUUCAGGAAACUGGGGCUAAUACCGGAUAGGAGCUCCUGCUGCAUGGUGGGGGUUGGAAAGUUUCGGCGGUUGGGGAUGGACUCGCGGCUUAUCAGCUUGUUGGUGGGGUAGUGGCUUACCAAGGCUUUGACGGGUAGCCGGCCUGAGAGGGUGACCGGCCACAUGGGGACUGAGAUACGGACCAGACGCCUACGGGAGGCAGCAGGGGGGAAUAUUGCACAAUGGGCGGAAGCCUGAUGCAGCAACGCCGCGUGCGGGAUGACGGCCUUCGGGUUGUAAACCGCUUUGGCCUGUGACGAAGCGUGAGUGACGGUAAUGGGUAAAGAAGCACCGGCUAACUACGUG